rnacentral:lncRNA from 1 species
UAUACAUUCUACAUACAAGUCCCUUAUCAGGUAAAGGAUUUGCAAAAAUUUUCUCCAUUCUCUGGGUUCUUUUCACUUCCUUCAAGGUGUCCUUUGAAGCACAAAAGUUUGAUAAUUUCAAUGAAGUUCAGUUUAUCUGUUUGGCCUUGUUUUGUAAGAAAUAGUAAGUUGGAUUGCAGCCUUCUAACCAUCCACUUGUGACUGCAGCUGCGUUGCCCCUUUCCCCAGAAACCGACGGGGAAAAAUGUUCUGUGAAAAUACCUGUUGUCUGGAGUGAAGACAAGAAGCUCUGGAAAGCGGCAAAAGUCGAGUCUCACCAGUGGUGGUUUUGUUUUGGUUUACCUUUUCUGCUCCUGAGGUUCCUUCACUUCGAGCAGUUGGGUGGAAAGGAGAAUGCGAUAGAAAGCGGAGAGCAGGAUCAAGGUAAGUUGGCCACCUCUGUAACAUCAGAUGUUCCAGAUUAAGAAAAAAAAAACAUGAAUAAUAAUUUUUAAAAAUGAAUAAGCCUGCUUUUUCCCCAUCUAAAGAAAGCCCCUCUAAGUAAGCAGCUAUGACACGCGUGCCUCAGGAGUGCGGAUAUUACUGCUAUGUGAAACAUGCUGAUUAAAAUCCUUGUUUCUGUCUCAGGCUGCAGAUUUUUCACACAGUUUGAAGUAACAGUAAUGCUAAGAACACUUAAUUAAAAGCGCUUGAUGUGGUCUGCUACUGUUUCAAGUACCUCAGGUGCUUUAGUGCAUUAAGUAGCCCUUUAUUUUACCGUCUUUACCCAUCACUUGAGCAAAAGCUGUAUGCGCAAUGUGUGUAUUGCGGAAGGGUGCUAAGUUUUGUGGGCCAGUGCUUGAGUAAACAAUAUCUAACAGAAAACAGUAUUUUCUAGGAAUGCUGUACAUUCACCUAAGCCCUAGCUUCUCGCCCUGCCCAGGCAAAGAAAUCAUAAAGAGGGAGGGAGAGACCAACAGCUUGAAUUAAAACUAAUUAGACUUGGGGGUGGUGGGGUGGUGAGGAGGGGUGGGGGUGGUAGUGAAUGAAUCACUUCCAGGAGCAUUGGAAAGGGAAAUAUAGAAAUUUGGAGUCGUGUCUCUAAAACAUGUAAACGGAUUCGCCUCGGUCUCUCUCUCCUCCACUGCAUCUUACACUGAUUU